rnacentral:rRNA from 1 species
UACGUAGGGGGCUAGCGUUGUCCGGAAUCAUUGGGCGUAAAGCGCGUGUAGGCGGUCCGGUAAGUCCGCUGUGAAAGUCGGGGGCUCAACCUCGAAUGCCGGUGGAUACUGUCGGGCUAGAGUGCGGAAGAGGCGAGUGGAAUUCCUGGUGUAGCGGUGAAAUGACGCAGAUAUCAGGAGGAACACCGGUGGCGAAGGCGGCAUCCUGGACCGGCAUUGACGCUGAGGC